GGAAGAUAUGUAAGGUACUGAGCACUUGAGGAUGAAAAUAAUCAAUAAUGGUUGGUGCAAUGUGGACUGAUGUGAAGUGUAUUUACUCCUAGGUACCCCAGUUUAGGGUUGGGAUGGUAGCAGAACCUGUGGUUGGAAUUGUAGAUGUAUAAAGAACACAUACAUAGGGUCACAGGGAACCUGGAGCCUAUCCCAGGGAGCAUCGGGCACAAGGCGGGGUACACCCUGGACAGGAUGCCGGUCAAUAUUGAUUCAGCGCAAUCAAAACAUUUUCCUGUUUUUCAUUUACAUUAUUAACAUAAAUGACUGUACAGUUUACAGUAUAUGAGGUACCUGCUGGACUGGACUGGAUAUUAUGGAGUGACUAAUCUAUAAAUACAUACAGUAUAUAUCAGAAAUACAUAUAUACACACACAUAAAUAGGUCACAUAUUUCCCCAUAACAAUCUCAUCCAAACUUAAAUACUUAACAACCACUGGCAACAGCUAUUCUCAGCACUAGGCUCGGAGGAUUUGCCUCUUUGCCAAUACUGGUAUAGUGUAAUCUGUUGCAUUGAUCAUUAAUAUAAGUUGUUGUAGGGUUGUACUCUUUACAACCAGUAACAAUUAUUGUUAGUGAGUUGUAAUUAAGGUACAAAAUCUACAACUGUUAACACAUGCAUAGCUACUGAAGACUUCACUAGUAGACAGUAAUCCGGUCUCUAGUCUGCCUUAUUCAGCAGUAAUUGUGUAUUAGUAGUGAGACACCAUCUACCAUCCAAUUAAGUGGAAAUGCUAGACAUAAAGGUGUCUAAGCUACUGGCUUAUUAAUGACCAGUAAAUAACCAAUUGCACAUAAGGACUGCACUUAUCUUAAGCGAGUUGCCAUUCGAGCAAAUUGGCCAAUAUAGGCUUGUCUAUUUUCCUGAUUUUGUUUAUUUAUUUUUCUGAAUGCGUGUUAAGGAGAUUACAUCUUAUCGAUUUCACUCUUAGACUCUACACAAAUUUUACAGUACAUUGGGUUAAAUGUAUUUGAGUUUCUUUUGGGAAAGUAAUGAAUUAAUUCAGUCAUUCAUUCACUUCAGUAUCCGCUUCAUCCUAGUCAAGGGCGUCGUGGAUGCAGGGUCAAUCUCAGUAGCGCUGGGCGCAGGGCAGGAGAAUUCAUCUCGGACGUGACGUGAAGUCAACAUCGGAGUCCAAUCCAUCGCUUCAUCAAUGGAGAAUAUACAAGCCCAUCUAGAGUUUUUUUUUUUUAUGGCACAAUGUAUAAGAAUAUCUCAUCCAGAGAUAUGAAUACAAUGUAGCCUACUUUUACAUCAGCAGGUAUUGUUGUGACACGGCACAUAACACCGUGUAACAUCCCCUCUAAAAUUCAUAGUGGCUGUGUUUUCAUCCUGGAAAAGAACCAAAAUCAUCUGCAAGGACAGAAUGGCAAAAUGUUGCCGUGGUUCUUUUUUUCAUGAAGAUGCACAGCUCAACCAUGACGCGGGUGCAACUAAUCUAUUGGUUCUUCUUCUGGGUUUGCCCUUGGCAGCAAACCUUCAGUACAUAUCUUCAUCCGCAUCAUCAUCUUCUUCUUCUUCACCCUCCUCACUGGUCAUUAUCUGCAAAAAAAAAAAAAAAAACAUUAGGUCAAGUCAUCUCUCCCCGCUUGGGUUCAUGUUUCUCAGAUGAAGCAUGUGUUAGCCUUCACCUAUCCCGUUUGAUACGGGAGAGAUAGCUGAUGGGUGUGAAGUGGUGGAUGACCAAAUUAGGGAGGAAAUAGGGGGGAAAUACAGUUAUGAUCUCAUUUAAAAGUAAAUUGUACUUACCUUUAAAAAUAAGACACUAUCACUGAGGGGUGUUACGUUUCACAGUAUGAUAACCUAGUCUAAAAAUAUUGUGCUGAUCUUUAAUUGCAAUUACUAUUUGAAUUAUAUAUGCAUCCCUUUUUUUUUCCUUUGGUGUAUUUAAACAAUUUCCUUUUUUUGUGCCAUUUCAUGUUUUCCUUUGAUCAUAUUAAACAUAUUAAUCAAGAUUAAACAUCCUCCAAGCUCCAUACACUAAUUUCAUUAAAAACAAAUCCCCUGAAUGCAGAUUUUCUGACUGUAAGUCACAUCUGCUAAAUGUCGCAAAUGUAAAUGUACCGUAUCAGUGUAAUCAAGUCUAAUAGCUCAAAAUUUAUAUAUAGAUAAUGAAAAUGGCGUAAAAACUCACCACUCUGCAAUUCUCAUUUAGACCCUGUUUCCAAAAAAGUGUUGUGUUGCACAAGAAGAUUGCAACUUAUACCCGGAGCAAGUUCUUCGAAAUGAAGAGAUACACAGUGGCUUCCUUUUAUUCUUCACCACUAGAAACCACCUACAUUUGUUCUAAAAAUAAAACAAGGAUAUAGAUAGGAAAGCAGCUAAUCCGGUUCUAGACGGUGUAAAGAAAUGGAUUUCCAUUUCCAAGUAAAGUCAAAGAUAGGUUUCUUUUUAUAUUUACAUUUAUUGCAUAAUCCGUAGGUCAAGGACAGUGAGACGUUGCAAACAAAUGUAAAC
ensembl:lncRNA